AUCCUGGCUCAGAUUGAACGCUGGCGGCAUGCUUUACACAUGCAAGUCGAACGGUAACAGGCCUUCGGGUGCUGACGAGUGGCGAACGGGUGAGUAAUGCAUCGGAACGUGCCCAAUCGUGGGGGAUAACGUAGCGAAAGUUACGCUAAUACCGCAUACGCCCUGAGGGGGAAAGUGGGGGACCGCAAGGCCUCACGCGAGUGGAGCGGCCGAUGUCAGAUUAGCUAGUUGGUGGGGUAAAGGCCCACCAAGGCGACGAUCUGUAGCGGGUCUGAGAGGAUGAUCAGCCACACUGGGACUGAGACACGGCCCAGACUCCUACGGGAGGCAGCAGUGGGGAAUAUUGGACAAUGGGCGCAAGCCUGAUCCAGCAAUGCCGCGUGUGUGAAGAAGGCCUGCGGGUUGUAAAGCACUUUCAGUGGGGAAGAACAGAUUCGGGUCAAUACCCCGGAGCCCUGACGUUACCCACAGAAGAAGCACCGGCUAACUCCGUG
rnacentral:rRNA from 1 species